GCCUGCAUAGCUCAGUUGGUUAGAGUGUGGUGUUGAUAAUGCCAAGGUUGCAGGUUCGGUCCCUGCGUGGGGCA